rnacentral:rRNA from 1 species
UACAGAGGUCUCAAGCGUUGUUCGGAUUCAUUGGGCGUAAAGGGUGUGUAGGUGGCGCCGUAAGUCGGGUGUGAAAUUUCGGAGCUUAACUCCGAAACUGCAUUCGAUACUGCCGUGCUUGAGGACUGGAGAGGAGACUGGAAUUUACGGUGUAGCGGUGAAAUGCGUAGAUAUCGUAAGGAAGACCAGUGGCGAAGGCGGGUCUCUGGACAGAUCCUGACGCUGAGACUCGAAAGCGUGGGGGAGCAAACAGG